AUACCCGCUGAACUUAAGCAUAUCAAUAAGCGGAGGAAAAGAAACCAACAGGGAUUGCCCCAGUAACGGCGAGUGAAGCGGCAACAGCUCAAAUUUGAAAUCUGGCCCCCUUGGGGGUCCGAGUUGUAAUUUGCAGAGGAUGCUUCGGCGUGGGCCCCGGCCUAAGUUCCCUGGAACGGGACGUCGCAGAGGGUGAGAAUCCCGUACGUGGCCGGCGGUGCUCGCCAUGUGAAGCUCCUUCGACGAGUCGAGUUGUUUGGGAAUGCAGCUCUAAAUGGGAGGUAGAUUCCUUCUAAGGCUAAAUACCGGCCAGAGACCGAUAGCGCACAAGUAGAGUGAUCGAAAGAUGAAAAGCACUUUGGAAAGAGAGUCAAAAAGUACGUGAAAUUGUUGAAAGGGAAGCGCUUGCAACCAGACCUGACCGCGGUCGCUCAUCCGGGCUCCUGCCCGGUGUACUCGCCCGCGGCCAGGCCAGCAUCGGUUCUGGCGGUCGGACAAAGGCGGCGGGAACGUGGCUCCCUCCGGGGAGCGUUAUAGCCCGCCGCGCAAUGCGGCCAGCCGGGACCGAGGUCCGCGCUUCGGCUAGGAUGCUGGCGUAAUGGUGGCAAGCGGCCCGUCUUGAAACACGGACC
rnacentral:rRNA from 1 species